rnacentral:rRNA from 1 species
AACGCGAAGAACCUUACCUGGGCUCGAAGCGCAGUGGAAUGGGGUGGAAACAUCCCCGCCCGCAAGGGCCGCUGCGGAGGUGCUGCAUGGCUGUCGUCAGCUCGUGUCGUGAGAUGUUGGGUUAAGUCCCGCAACGAGCGCAACCCUUAUCGUUAGUUGCCAGCGAGUCAAGUCGGGCACUCUAGCGAAACCGCCUCGGAUAACGGGGAGGAAGGUGGGGAUGACGUCAAGUCCUCAUGGCCUUUAUGUCCAGGGCUACACACGUGCUACAAUGGCCGGUACAAACCGUCGCAAACCCGCGAGGGGGAGCUAAUCGGAAAAAGCCGGCCUCAGUUCGGAUUGGAGUCUGCAACUCGACUCCAUGAAGCUGGAAUCGCUAGUAAUCGCGGAUCAGCACGCCGCGGUGAAUACGUUCCCGGGCCUUGUACACACCGAUACUC